rnacentral:misc_RNA from 1 species
AACCAUAGAAACCUGCGGAGUACCUGCGGCAGGAUCAUUAAAGAUUGACCGAAAGGUCUUAUCUCUAUAUCCCUCACCUCUGUGAACUGUGGACCUCCGGGUCUAUUUAACAAACAUCAGUGUAAUGAACGUAUAUAUCAUUAAACAAAACAAAACUUUUAACAAUGGAUCU